rnacentral:misc_RNA from 1 species
UGCGGCUGGAUCCCCUCCUUUCUAAGGAGUGCUUCUCGACUGCAGCAUCGUCAUUCGUACGAUCCAGCUCGAGACACACCUGUUGGUGCACUGGUGGACUGUCAGCCGUCGGACCUCGAGGUCGACAGGGAUUCGGUCCCUCCCUCGAGCAUCCACCCGCCGGCAGUCACCGUCUUCUCUUCCGUUUUGAGGGAGUGGGAAUCCACCUCUCGCCGGCGCCGCUGCGUCGAGCUCGUCCGAGUACCUCGCGACGAUGUUCCGCAAGCGCCAUUCCGGCCCCUUGAGAACUGCAGAGCAAGCACGAGCAUCUUGUUCUUUCAAAUUUCAAUGUUUGAACGAUCGAAUAAAAGAAUUUCCAAGCUACAAAGAGCCAACGGUGGAUGCCUUGGCGCCAAGAACCGAUGAAGGACGUGAGUGACUGCGAAAAGCUCCGGGGAGCCGUCGACUAGGCGUUAUAUCCGGAGAUGUCCGAAUGGGGAAACCCGG